rnacentral:miRNA from 1 species
AUUGGGUCCAGAUAUAAUU